UGCGUAGGUGGGCAGGUAAGUCAGUGGUGAAAUCUCUGGGCUUAACCCAGAAACUGCCGUUGAUACUAUCUGUCUUGAAUGUAGUGGAGGUGAGCGGAAUAUGUCAUGUAGCGGUGAAAUGCUUAGAUAUGACAUAGAACACCUAUUGCGAAGGCAGCUCGCUACACUAUUAUUGACACUGAGGCACGAAAGCGUGGGGAUCAAACAGGAUUAGAUACCCUGGUAGUCCACGCCCUAAACGAUGGAUACUCGACAUCAGCGAUACACUGUUGGUGUCUGAGCGAAAGCAUUAAGUAUCCCACCUGGGAAGUACGACCGCAAGGUUGAA
rnacentral:rRNA from 1 species